rnacentral:sRNA from 1 species
GGACGCAGUAGCUCCCUGAAGCGGAGGCGAAGGGGAGUUUAAGCCCCAGCGGCGGCAAUGGCGGAGAGGCCCGAGGACCUAAACCUGCCCAAUGCCGUGAUCACCAGGAUCAUCAAGGAGGCGGUGAGCAGCUCGGGGGGGGCGGACGAACGGGCAGGAGGGAAGCAGGUGCUGGAACGGCAGCUUUGCUCACCCCCGGUCUCCUCGCAGCUCCCGGACGGUGUCAACAUCUCCAAGGAGGCCCGGAGCGCCAUCUCCCGCGCCGCCAGCGUCUUCGUGCUGUACGCCACAUCCUGUGCUAACAACUUUGCAAUGAAAGGAAAGCGGAAGACGCUGAAUGCCAGUGAUGUGCUCUCAGCCAUGGAAGAGAUGGAGUUCCAGCGGUUCGUUACCCCAUUGAAAGAAGCUCUGGAAGCAUAUAGGCGGGAGCAGAAAGGCAAGAAGGAGGCCUCAGA